UACAGAGGUCUCAAGCGUUGUUCGGAUUCAUUGGGCGUAAAGGGUGCGUAGGCGGCCAACUAAGUCGGAUGUGAAAUCCCCAAGCUUAACUUGGGAACUGCAUCCGAUACUGGAUGGCUUGAAUCCGGGAGAGGGAUGCAGAAUUCCAGGUGUAGCGGUGAAAUGCGUAGAUAUCUGGAGGAAUACCGGUGGCGAAGGCGGCAUCCUGGACCGGCAUUGACGCUGAGGAGCGAAAGCUAGGGGAGCAAACGGG
rnacentral:rRNA from 1 species